rnacentral:rRNA from 1 species
GACAGAGGUGCCGAGCGUUAGGCGGAAUCACUGGGCUUAAAGCGUGUGUAGGCGGGUCGUUAAGUGCCUUGUGAAAUCCCACCGCUCACCGGUGGAACUGCUUGGCAUACUGGCGAUCUUGAGCCACUUAGGGGCAACCGGAACAAACGGUGGAGCGGUGAAAUGCGUAGAUAUCUGGAGGAAUACCGGUGGCGAAGGCGGCAUCCUGGACCGGUAUUGACGCUGAGGCGCGAAAGCCAGGGGAGCAAACGGG